AGUGAACGCUGGCGGUAGGCCUAACACAUGCAAGUCGAACGGCAGCACAGUAAGAGCUUGCUCUUACGGGUGGCGAGUGGCGGACGGGUGAGGAAUACAUCGGAAUCUACUUUUUCGUGGGGGAUAACGUAGGGAAACUUACGCUAAUACCGCAUACGACCUACGGUUGAAAGCAGGGGAUCUUCGGACCUUGCGCGAUUGAAUGAGCCGAUGUCGGAUUAGCUAGUUGGCGGGGUAAAGGCCCACCAAGGCGACGAUCCGUAGCUGGUCUGAGAGAGUGAUCAGCCACAAUGGGACAGUGGCAACGUACAGACCCCCAGGGGGGGCAGGAGUGGGGAAUUGUUGAAAAAUGGCGGAAACCUGGUUCAGCCAUUACGGGUUGGUGAAGGAAGCCCUUGGGGUUGUAAGGCCUUUUGUUUGGAAAGAAAAACAAGAAGGUAAAUCCCCGGGUGUUUGGACGGUACCAAAAGAAUAGAAACGGGAAACUUCCGU
rnacentral:rRNA from 1 species